AAGAACCCCGGCGAGGGGAGUGAAAAAGAACCUGAAACCGUGUACGUACAAGCAGUGGGAGCCCCACCACUAAGCCAGUGGUGAACUCCACAUCCGCAUCCUUUGCUGAGGAUACGGUUAACGGAGCGAAAGCGACGUUCAACCGCAAAACAAGCAGAGGGGGCUUAGUGGUGGGGUGACUGCGUACCUUUUGUAUAAUGGGUCAGCGACUUAUAUUCUGUAGCAAGGUUAACCGAAUA
rnacentral:rRNA from 1 species